rnacentral:rRNA from 1 species
GACGAACGCUGGCGGCGUGCUUAACACAUGCAAGUCGAACGGAAAGGCCCUGCUUUUGUGGGGUGCUCGAGUGGCGAACGGGUGAGUAACACGUGAGUAACCUGCCCUUGACUUUGGGAUAACUUCAGGAAACUGGGGCUAAUACCGUAUAGGAGCUCCUGCUGCAUGGUGGGGGUUGGAAAGUUUCGGCGGUUGGGGAUGGACUCGCGGCUUAUCAGCUUGUUGGUGGGGUAGUGGCUUACCAAGGCUUUGACGGGUAGCCGGCCUGAGAGGGUGACCGGCCACAUUGGGCCUGAGAUACGGACCAGACUCCUACGGGAGGCAGCAGUGGGGAAUAUUGCACAAUGGGCGGAAGCCUGAUGCAGCAACCCUGCGUGCGGGAUGACGGCCUUCGGGUUGUAAACCGCUUUCGCCUGUGACGAAGCGUGAGUGACGGUAAUGGGUAAAGAAGCACCGGCUAACUACGUG